rnacentral:rRNA from 1 species
UACGAAGGGGCUAGCGUUGCUCGGAAUCACUGGGCGUAAAGGGUGCGUAGGCGGGUCUUUAAGUCAGGGGUGAAAUCCUGGAGCUCAACUCCAGAACUGCCUUUGAUACUGAGGAUCUUGAGUUCGGGAGAGGUGAGUGGAACUGCGAGUGUAGAGGUGAAAUUCGUAGAUAUUCGCAAGAACACCAGUGGCGAAGGCGGCUCACUGGCCCGAUACUGACGCUGAGGCACGAAAGCGUGGGGAGCAAAGCAGG